rnacentral:rRNA from 1 species
CUUGGUCAUUUAGAGNAAGUAAAAGUCGUANCAAGGUCUCCGUUGGUGAACCAGCGGAGGGAUCAUUACCGAGUUUACAACUCCCAAACCCCUGUGAACAUACCUUAUGUUGCCUCGGCGGAUCAGCCCGCGCCCCGUAAAAAGGGACGGCCCGCCGCAGGAACCCUAAACUCUGUUUUUAGUGGAACUUCUGAGUAUAAAAAACAAAUAAAUCAAAACUUUCAACAACGGAUCUCUUGGUUCUGGCAUCGAUGAAGAACGCAGCAAAAUGCGAUAAGUAAUGUGAAUUGCAGAAUUCAGUGAAUCAUCGAAUCUUUGAACGCACAUUGCGCCCGCCAGUAUUCUGGCGGGCAUGCCUGUUCGAGCGUCAUUUCAACCCUCAAGCCCAGCUUGGUGUUGGGAGCUGCAGUCCUGCUGCACUCCCCAAAUACAUUGGCGGUCACGUCGAGCUUCCAUAGCGUAGUAAUUUACACAUCGUUACUGGUAAUCGUCGCGGCCACGCCGUUAAACCCCAACUUCUGAAUGUUGACCUCGGAUCAGGUAGGAAUANNCGC